rnacentral:rRNA from 1 species
ACGUAGGGGGCAAGCGUUAUCCGGAAUUAUUGGGCGUAAAGAGUGCGUAGGUGGUUUUUUAAGCGUGAGGUGAAAGGCAAUAGCUUAACUAUUGUAAGCCUUGCGAACUGGAAGACUUGAGUGCAGGAGAGGAAAGUGGAAUUCCUAGUGUAGCGGUGAAAUGCGUAGAUAUUAGGAGGAACACCAGUGGCGAAGGCGUCUCACCAGGACGGCUCCGACAGUGAGGAACGAAAGCUGGGGGAGCAAACCG